rnacentral:rRNA from 1 species
UACGGAGGGUGCGAGCGUUGUCCGGAUUUAUUGGGUUUAAAGGGUGCGUAGGUGGCUUGUUAAGUCAGUGGUGAAAUACAGCCGCUCAACGGUUGAGGUGCCAUUGAUACUGACAAGCUUGAACAAGUGGAGGUUGCCGGAAUGGAUGGUGUAGCGGUGAAAUGCAUAGAUAUCAUCCAGAACACCGAUUGCGAAGGCAGGUGACUACGUUUGAUUUGACACUGAGGCACGAAAGCAUGGGGAGCAAACAGG